rnacentral:tRNA from 1 species
GCCCGGAUAACUCAGUCGGUAGAACGUCAGACUUUUAAUCUGAGGGUUCAGGGUUUGUGUCCCUGUUCGGGCG